AGAGUUUGAUCCUGGCUCAGAAUCAACGCUGGCGGCGCGCUUAACACAUGCAAGUCGCACGAGAAAGGGGAGCAAUCCCUGAGUAAAGUGGCGUACGGGUGAGUAACACGUGGAUCAUCUACCUUUUAGUGGGGAAUACCCCUGGGAAACUGGGGACAAUACCGCAUAAGCUCGUGAGAGGAAAGCCGAAAGGCGCUGAAAGAGGAGUCCGCGGCUGAUUAGCUAGUUGGUGAGGUAACGGCCCACCAAGGCGAAGAUCGGUAGCCGGCCUGAGAGGGCACACGGCCACACUGGCACUGAAACACGGGCCAGACUCCUACGGGAGGCAGCAGUGGGGAAUCUUGCACAAUGGAGGAAACUCUGAUGCAGCGACGCCGCGUGAGCGAUGAAGCCCUUCGGGGUGUAAAGCUCUUUCGACGGGAACGAUAAUGACGGUACCCGAAGAAGAAGCUGCGGCUAACUACGUGCCAGCAGCCGCGGUAAUACGUAGGCAGCAAGCGUUGUUCGGAAUUACUGGGCGUAAAGAGUGUGUAGGCGGUGCUCUAAGUCUGUCGUGAAAUCUCCCGGCUUAACUGGGAGGGUGCGGCGGAAACUGGUGUGCUUGAGGAUGGGAGAGGUAAGCGGAAUUCCUGGUGUAGCGGUGAAAUGCGUAGAUAUCAGGAGGAACACCUGUGGUGUAGACAGCUUACUGGACCAUUUCUGACGCUGAGACACGAAAGCGUGGGUAGCAAACAGGAUUAGAUACCCUGGUAGUCC
rnacentral:rRNA from 1 species